GAUGAACGCUGGCGGCGUGCCUAAUACAUGCAAGUCGAGCGAACGGACGAGAAGCUUGCUUCUCUGAUGUUAGCGGCGGACGGGUGAGUAACACGUGGAUAACCUACCUAUAAGACUGGGAUAACUUCGGGAAACCGGAGCUAAUACCGGAUAAUAUUUUGAACCGCAUGGUUCAAUAGUGAAAGACGGUUUUGCUGUCACUUAUAGAUGGAUCCGCGCUGCAUUAGCUAGUUGGUAAGGUAACGGCUUACCAAGGCAACGAUGCGUAGCCGACCUGAGAGGGGAAUCGCCCAAACUGAAACGGAAACACGGUCCAAACCCCUACGGAAGGAAGAGGUGGGAAAUUUUCCGAAAUGGGCGAAAGCUGGAGGGAGAACCGCCGGGUGAGUGAUAAAGGUCUUGGGAUCGUAAACCUCUGUUAUUGGGAAAGAAAAUAUGUGAAGGUAACUGUGACGAUUUUAACGGAACUUAAUAAGAAAGCAACGCCAAAUUCCGU
rnacentral:rRNA from 1 species